UCUUCAGUAGCUUAAUGGUGGAGCAAACGACUGUUAAUCGUUCGGUUGAUGGUUCGAAUCCAUCCUGAAGAG
rfam:Fonticula alba strain ATCC 38817 mitochondrial scaffold supercont2.211, whole genome shotgun sequence.